GGGGGUAUAGCUCAGUGAUAGAGCAUUCGACUGCAGAUCGAGAGGUCCCCUCUUCAAACUCGGGGGUACUCUUCU